rnacentral:rRNA from 1 species
CGGCGGACGGGUGAGUAACGCGUGGGUAACCUGCCUCAUACAGGGGGAUAACAGUUAGAAAUGACUGCUAAUACCGCAUAAGCACACAGUACCGCAUGGUACAGUGUGAAAAACUCCGGUGGUAUGAGAUGGACCUGCGUCUGAUUAGCUAGUUGGCGGGGUAACGGCCCACCAAGGCGACGAUCAGUAGCCGACCUGAGAGGGUGACCGGCCACAUUGGGACUGAGACACGGCCCAAACUCCUACGGGAGGCAGCAUG